GGAAGAUUGCCAGAAUGGUCAUUGGCCCCGCCUUGAAAGCGGAGAGGGCGCGUCGCGCCGUGGGGGUUCGAGUCCCUCAUCUUCCGCCA
rnacentral:tRNA from 1 species